AGAGACGCUCAUCAAGGCAAGGUGAUGAUUGUCAGAGGGAAAGGGAAAAUGCAGCAUGAGCUCCAGAAGUGCCCGGGGAGUUGCUGUGAUGUCUUGUGGGGUUGUUAGUUUCAACAACUUAACUGCAGGCCUUCACUCAACCUGCAGAUCAAGCAUUGGAACAAGGUUUACGGCAGAGAACAGGCACCCAACGGAGAGGCAAGUCUACC